AGGUUGCCUUGGGUUAAGACUUAAGACCGAAAGUUAAUGCUCAUAGUAGUACCCAAAUAAAGGAACUUUUCAUUUUCCUGAUGGUUGCCUUUCAGUUAUUGUACACUCCUAGAGGUUAAUGUUACAAAGGUCAUGAGUUGCCCAAGCAACGAACAUCCCAGAGAUUGAAGUCUAUUCAGGAAGAUUUAACUCCACUGUAUGGUGAGUUCAUCAGUUAUUGGCUUUUAGCAAAUGCCCUAAGGACCAUUACUAAAGGAAACAAGUUUAAGGGUGCAUGUUUCUUCAAACCUAGUUGGUAAUCUGAUUAUGUAGAAAUCAUUGGAAAAAGAAUGAUUUUUGUUAGUGCAGGGUACUCUCUAAUUUCAAGGAUAGCUUUAUUCAUAGUGAAUGAUUCUUGGACUAUUCAACCAUUAAUCCUUGAGAUGGCUCAUAGGACUUCUGUGAACAAUGUUUACUUGGUUACUCUUUUUAGCAGAUUAGAUGACAAGAGCAACAAAUUUUUGGUGUCCAGCUAAAGUUUAAGUAUGAUGUUGGAGUAGAUAUCAAGUUGAUUGCCUGUGGAUGAUGCAACCAUUUGCUUGUUCGCUAAACCAAGAAGAGAAUGAUGAACUAGUGGGUGCAUGAAGCAAUUGGAGAUACCCUGCACUCCUUGUUAGAGAUGGUUGCUAAAAUUCUGAAUAAGAGUGUGAGCACAACGAUUGCAAUGUACUAGGUUAGGGUUUUUCAAUAGGGAUAGAAUAAAUAUGUUGUAAACCCUAUUUUUCAUAUAGUUAAACCAUUAGUUGCUCAUUGCCAUGGAUGUAGGCACACUGCCGAACCACGUAAAUCUUUGUGUUGUUUUUCCCUCUAUUUCCACUGAAAUUGCAUUAAUAUUU